UUUCUGGUCGUAAAUAAUAAGCAAUAACGACCAUAUAUGUAACUGGUCGUAAAUAGUACAAAUUAUCUACGACGAGGCGGAAUUCUAGUCGUAAAAGCCAUUUUCUCGUCGCAAAAAAAUAAUAACUACAACAAGUUUGAAAUCUGGUCGUAAAAACUCAAAAUUUUAAAAUUUCGCUGAAAAUAUCAGCGGGAUAUAAUGCCGCGUUGGAUCCAUUUUUGCAAUUAUCUAUCCUUAUACUCCCACCACCGACACUAUCUCUUCUAAUUUCCCCAAAAUUCUCUCUCCUCUCUCAUUUUCUUAUCCUCCCAUCUCUCUCCUCUCUCAUUCAAUACCUUCAUUCUAACCUCCAUAGCCACUGAAAUUCUUUUCUUCUUUCUUUCUUCUUUUUCUCCAUUUUCGUCUUCUUCUUCUAAGCAUUUUUUUUUUUUGAAAUUUUAUUUCAUUUUAAGAUUUCGAUUACACGAAAUUCGCUGCAAAUUUUUGUGAUGGGUGAUUACUCGAAAUUCGCUGCAAAUUUUUUAUUUUUCAGGGGAUAAUUUUGGGGUUUUAUUUUGGAGUUUUCGUUUGGUUUUUCUGGGUAUGUGUUUUUUCGUUUUGGUUAGAUCUUCAAAUAGGUAUUUAUUGUUCAAAAUUUUUGUUUUCUUUUAUCUUUUUUCUGUCUUUUUUUGUUGGGGAUUUAUUUAGGGUUUUUAGGGAGGGUGGGUGGGUUUUUUUUGUGGAUCCGGUGGAUUUUUUUGGUUUUUCGGUUCGUGGGGUGGGUUGGGUUGGGUUUGGGUGGGUGGGUUUUCUGGGUGGGUGGGGUUUUUUCUGGGUAAUUGGGGUUUUUGGGUGGGAGGGGUCGAAGGUGAAGGCGAAGGGAGUGGUGGUUGUGGGUGAUGUUGAAGAGUGGUGGUUCGAUUUGUUUAUGGUGAGGUCAGGUGGCGACAAGUCCGGUGGUGGUUGGUUGAUAUUGCCUAAUCCAACGACACCGUACCGCCGUUUGGCAAGGGGGUUGGUUGAUGUUGGACAUGGUGCAGAUUUGUUCGAGUACUGUAUUUGUUAAAGAGAUUGGUUCCACAUUGCUUUUGAAGAAUUCUGAAAUACUGCGUUCCUUAUUUUGAAGAGAUUGGUUUUGUCCCUAGUUGAUGUAAUUUUUGUUUUUACAUUUUAUCAUUAGUUGGAUUAAUUUUGUUCUAGAUUUUUAGUAAGAUUUCAAUUGGGAUGUAAUAUAUAUUGUAUUUACCAUUAUAAUUAAUAAAAAGAUUAAUUUUUAGAUUUU